rnacentral:rRNA from 1 species
AUGUAGGUUGUUUGUUAAGUCAGAUGUGAAAGCCCUGGGCUAUACCUUUGAACUGCAUUUGAUACUGGCAAACUAGAGUUCGGUAGAGGAAUGGGGAAUUUCUGGUGUAGCGGUGAAAUGCGUAGAGAUCAGAAGGAACAACAAUGGCGAAGGCAACAUUCUGGACCGAUACUGACACUGAGGGACGAAAGCGUGGGGAUCAAACAGGAUUAGAUACACUGGUAGUCCACGCUGUAAACGAUGAGUACUAGC